rnacentral:tRNA from 2 species
GUAGUUGUGGCCGAGCAGUUAAGGCGAUGGGCUUGAAAUCCGUUGGCGUCUCCUGUGCAGGUUCGAGUCCUGCUGACUACA